rnacentral:rRNA from 1 species
GCUUGUCUCAAAGAUUAAGCCAUGCAUGUCUAAGUAUAAGCUUUUAUACGGUGAAACUGCGAAUGGCUCAUUAAAACAGUUAUAGUUUAUUUGAUGGUCGCUCACUACAUGGAUAACCGUGGUAAUUCUAGAGCUAAUACAUGCGUCAAGACCUGACUUUUCGGAAGGGUUGUGUUUAUUAGAUAAAAAGCCAAUCCAUGCUCUGCAUGGUAUUGUGGUGACUCAUAAUAACCGAUCGAAUCGCAUGGCGUAAGCCGGCGAUAAAUCAUUCAAGUUUCUGACCUAUCAGCUUCCGACGGUAGGGUAUUGGCCUACCGUGGCUAUGACGGGUAACGGGGAAUUAGGGUUCGAUUCCGGAGAGGGAGCCUGAGAAACGGCUACCACAUCUAAGGAAGGCAGCAGG